rnacentral:misc_RNA from 1 species
AACGCACCUUGCACCUUUUGGUAUUCCGAAAGGUAUGCCUGUUUGAGUGUCAUGAAAUAUCAACCAUUAGGGUUUCCUAAUCGGCUUGGACUUGGGCGCUGCCGUCUGGCUCGCCUUAAAUGCGUUAGUGGAUGACCCAUUAGCUUGACGUAAUAAGUUUCGUCACCCGAGUGGUCAGCAUCUGCUUACAACAACCAAUAUUUCUUAAUCUCUGACCUCAAAUCAGGUAGGACUACCCGCUGAACUUAA